rnacentral:rRNA from 1 species
AUUGAACGCUGGCGGCAGGCCUAACACAUGCAAGUCGAGCGGAGCGGCGGACGGGCGAGUGAUGCCUAGGAAUCUGCCUGGCCGUGGGGGAUAACGUCCGGAAAGGGGCGCUAAUACCGAACACUCGCAGAUGAGCCUAGGCGGGAUUGGCUAGGUGGUGGGGUAAGGGCCUACCAAGGCGACGAUCGGUAGCUGGUCUGAGUGGAUGAUCAGUCACACUGGAACUGGGACAGGGUCCAGAGUCCUACGGGAGGCAGCAGUGGGGAAUAUGGGGCAAUGGGCGAAAGCCUGAUCCAGCCAUGCCGCGUGUGUGAAGAAGGGCUUCGGAUUGUAAAGCACUUUAAGUUGGGAGGCGUUACCAACAGAAUAAGCACCGGCUAACUUCGUGCCAGCCGCCGCGGUAAUAC